rnacentral:rRNA from 1 species
GGGAACAGGGUAGGUCUGAAUGAUGACUGCGGUGCGGUCUUUGGUCCGCUCUCGUAGUUAAAGGAGAAUGGUAGUGAGGGGUCUGGGGUCUCAGGUGCCUCAGGUCACACUCGCGAGCCGCGCCGUUCAGCCGCUGGUACCGGCGCCGCCGAGAGUGGGAGGAGGACGACCAGGAGGAGGGCCGCGCGGUACGAGAGCGGUGCUGCCGGCCGCUGCGCGUGGGCCCGAUGCGCCCGCGCCUCCGGCUGUGGACGCCCCGCCGCUAGCCGCCGAGAGGGGGGAGACGUCCUCCGCGCCGUCCGGCCGCGGUGCCGGGCCGCGACCUCCUCAUGCCCCCGCCCGCGUAGCACCUGUAGUGCGUGCGCAUGGCGGGGUCGUACGGCCGCAAGCGCGGGCCGCGCUGCCAGCCGGGGGAGCACGCCGAGUUCCGCAGCUACCUCCUGCCCAGCCUCAUGUUGGACAGCCUCGAGGCCUACCUCACGGUGUACCCGUGGGUGCAGCUGCGCGGCCCGGUGUACUUGGUCCGGGUGAAGCGGCGGCCGGAGCUGCAGCUGUGCGAGCUGGAGCUACAGGAAUUGCCAGGACGGAAUGACCAGCUACAAGGUUCUGUGUGUUUAUAUUGUCGACUUAGGUACUUUAGGGAUUUAUAUGGCUUUUCACAAGCAGCACAAGAGAAGUCCUGUAACUUGUGUCUGUCCCCCGAGUACACCUUCCGUCGACCACUAUACUCAAUACAACCUAAAUGUCUCCUACCACGGGCCACCAAUCAACUGUUGUGUCUGUAGUUCGACCAACCCUAACUGAUAUAUAGUCAACGACGCAAACUAGUGAACUAGAGACGGGUACACCGGAAGAAGUUUUUACGCCUAUAGUAGGAUCAGCUUCGGAACUUUGAUCUGUUGCACUUGUGACCUGAUAUGUACGACGUGACGAAUGGAGACUCUGACCAACCGAGACUCCCGAGUGGUUAAUCCACGUAAGAAUAGUUCACUAGUGGUACCACGUAAGAAUAGGCUCACCGACGAGAACGGUUUUCCGACGUUGCACAGCACGGGCGUCUACGAUGUUAUAGAAACAGGUGCCAGGGUAGAAUCACCCUUUUCUUUUACGGAGAACAGUACGUAUGUUCAAACAUAACAUUUUAGUUGUUUCCUUUAUAUCGUUAUGGUGCUUAUUCGUUCAUCACGUUCUGCCUGCAACAUCGCUGAGUCACAGUUAGACAUUGGUUACUACUUGGUGUGCUCAAACAAUCGACAUAUUAAAGGUUGGCUCAAGUCGAUAAAAGUACACGUAGAGGAGAGUCCGUCAAAGACGUUAUAAAGCUAAGUUGAGCGACUACCGCUUCGGAUGAUGGUAACGACUAUGCAACCUGACAAGAGACAUUACGAGAUCGCACGGUUUGACAAUAUGCCUCAUCAUAUAUAGACGUCGAUGCAAAGAACAUUUCGUCUUAUUCAACGUACGGCCACUUGUACACAUGUUAGAAAACUAUACUCAAGAGUAAGAAGGAGACCCACGUGUACCUACUCACUAUGUAUAAACGCCCCCUGACAAACCUUUCCGAUUUAGGACACAAAAAGAAAAGAAAAAACUCCUAUUUAGGACACCAAAAGUCUAUGGCGGGGAAAAGUGACAGGCAGUAGAGCAAGAGUCGGUCGGCCGGACUCUCUUCGAACCAUGCACGAACGAGGUAAGUAGUCGUAACAUAACUGGUGGUCUUUAAUUCCUUCUCGACGUUGAUGGUCACUGGUAGUGUCGGGUCUCUUAGGCCUCACUCGCGAGCCGCCGUACCGCCCGCGCGGCCGAGAGUGGGAGGAGGACGACCAGGAGGAGGGCCGUGCGGUCCGCCCGAUACGCCCGCGCCUCCGGCUGCGGACGCCCGGCCGCCGGCCUCCGCGCCGUCCGGCCGCGGUACCGGGCCCCGACCUCCUCAUGCCGCCGCCCGCGUAGCACCUGUAGUGCGUGCGCAUGGCCGGCCCGUACGGCGGGCUGCGCUGCCGCCCGGGCGACCACGCCGAGUUCCUCAGCUACCUCUUGCCCAGCCUGAUGUUGAACAGCCUCGAGGCCUACGUGACGGUGUACCCGUGGGUGCAGCUGCGCGGCCCCGUGUACUUGUUCCGAGUGAAGCGGCGGCCAGAGCUGCAGCUGUGCGAGCUGGAUCCUCAGGAGCUGCCAGGACGGAAUGACCAGCUACAAGGUUCUGUGUGUUUAUAUUGUCGACUUCGUUACCUUAGGGAUUUAUAUGGUUUUCCACAAGCAGCUCAAGAGAAGUCCUGUAACUUGUGUCUGUCCCCCGAGUACACCUUCGUUCCUCCACUAUACUCAAAACAACCUAAAUGCCUCCUACCACGUGUCACCAAUCAACUGUUGUGGCUGUAGUUUGAACAACCCUAACUGAUAUAUAGUCAACGAAGUAAACUGGUGAACUAGUGACGGGUACACCGGAAGAAGUUUUUACGCCUAUAGUAGGGUCAGCUUCGGGACUUUGAUCUGUUGUAGUUGUGACCUGAUAUGUACGACGUGACGAAUGGAGAUUCUGACCAACCGAGGCUCCCAAGUGGUUAGUCCACGUAAGAAUAGUUCACUAGUGAACCGCCGACGAGAACGGUUUCCGACGUUACAUAGCACGGGUGUCUACGAUGUGGGAUCGAUUACAGAACCACGUGUCAGGUAUAGGCAUUUUUAUUUUACGGACUACAGUACAUAUAUUCAGACAUGACGGU